rnacentral:snoRNA from 1 species
AACUCUGGUCUCCCUUCUCAUUAGAGCACAGUUCUGUUCACGAUAGUAAAAGAAGAACAACGAUGCUCAAGAUGGUCUAACAGGGUUGUUGUUUGGUCAAUGCAUAUGAGCUAGAUCUAAACAGGG